GGGCGAGCUACACAUGCAGUCGAACGGUAACAGGAAGCAGCUUGCUGCUUUGCUGACGAGUGGCGGACGGGUGAGUAAUGUCUGGGAAACUGCCUGAUGGAGGGGGAUAACUACUGGAAACGGUAGCUAAUACCGCAUAACGUCGCAAGACCAAAGAGGGGGACCUUCGGGCCUCUUGCCAUCGGAUGUGCCCAGAUGGGAUUAGCUAGUAGGUGGGGUAACGGCUCACCUAGGCGACGAUCCCUAGCUGGUCUGAGAGGAUGACCAGCCACACUGGAACUGAGACACGGUCCAGACUCCUACGGGAGGCAGCAGUGGGGAAUAUUGCACAAUGGGCGCAAGCCUGAUGCAGCCAUGCCGCGUGUAUGAAGAAGGCCUUCGGGUUGUAAAGUACUUUCAGCGGGGAGGAAGGGAGUAAAGUUAAUACCUUUGCUCAUUGACGUUACCCGCAGAAGAAGCACCGGCUAACUCCGUGCCAGCAGCCGCGGUAAUACGGAGGGUGCAAGCGUUAAUCGGAAUUACUGGGCGUAAAGCGCACGCAGGCGGUUUGUUAAGUCAGAUGUGAAAUCCCCGGGCUCAACCUGGGAACUGCAUCUGAUACUGGCAAGCUUGAGUCUCGUAGAGGGGGGUAGAAUUCCAGGUGUAGCGGUGAAAUGCGUAGAGAUCUGGAGGAAUACCGGUGGCGAAGGCGGCCCCCUGGACGAAGACUGACGCUCAGGUGCGAAAGCGUGGGGAGCAAACAGGAUUAGAUACCCUGGUAGUCCACGCCGUAAACGAUGUCGACUUGGAGGUUGUGCCCUUGAGGCGUGGCUUCCGGAGCUAACGCGUUAAGUCGACCGCCUGGGGAGUACGGCCGCAAGGUUAAAACUCAAAUGAAUUGACGGGGGCCCGCACAAGCGGUGGAGCAUGUGGUUUAAUUCGAUGCAACGCGAAGAACCUUACCUGGUCUUGACAUCCACGGAAGUUUUCAGAGAUGAGAAUGUGCCUUCGGGAACCGUGAGACAGGUGCUGCAUGGCUGUCGUCAGCUCGUGUUGUGAAAUGUUGGGUUAAGUCCCGCAACGAGCGCAACCCUUAUCCUUUGUUGCCAGCGGUCCGGCCGGGAACUCAAAGGAAACUGCCAGUGAUAAACUGGAGAAAGGGGGGGAUGACGUCAAGUCAUCAUUGGCCCUUACAACCAGGCUACCCCGUGCUACAAUGGGGCCAAAAAAAAAAACGACCUCGCAAAACAACGGACCCCUAAAAUGGGUCCUAAUCCGGAUGAGUCUGCACCCCCCCUGAAUCGAACCCUAAAACUGGACAAGCGACAACCCCUUUUUUUUUUUUCCCCCCCCCCAAAAAAAAAAAAAAAAAAAAUUCCCCCGGCCCGGGUAU
rnacentral:rRNA from 1 species